GACGAACGCUGGCGGCGUGCUUAACACAUGCAAGUCGAACGGAAAGGCCCUGCUUUUGUGGGGUGCUCGAGUGGCGAACGGGUGAGUAACACGUGAGUAACCUGCCCUUGACUUUGGGAUAACUUCAGGAAACUGGGGCUAAUACCGGAUAGGAGCUCCUGCUGCAUGGUGGGGGUUGGAAAGUUUCGGCGGUUGGGGAUGGACUCGCGGCUUAUCAGCUUGUUGGUGGGGUAGUGGCUUACCAAGGCUUUGACGGGUAGCCGGCCUGAGAGGGUGACCGGCCACAUUGGGACUGAGAUACGGCCCAGACUCCUACGGGAGGCAGCAGUGGGGAAUAUUGCACAAUGGGCGGAAGCCUGAUGCAGCAACGCCGCGUGCGGGAUGACGGCCUUCGGGUUGUAAACCGCUUUCGCCUGUGACGAAACGUGAGUGACGGUAAGGGGUAAAGAAGCACCGGCUAACUACGUG
rnacentral:rRNA from 1 species